rnacentral:lncRNA from 1 species
UCUAGGAAAAAUAUAUUGAUCUCUAAAUAUCAAAAUUCAUGCUUUAUUCAAAAACAUAUCCAAGUUGGAAUGAUGGAACUUUAGAAAUUAUUACUCCAAGUCAACAUGCAACCAGUGGAGCUCAACUAAGAAAGUAGAUUUUCCAGCCAUUUCUGCAAAUUAUUAUAAAGUUUGCAGAAACCAAGAAACAAUCUUUUUCUAUGGAUCAGCUUAAAAAAUCUGCAUCUUUCCCUUCCAUCAACAUGGAUAUAAAUGUUCUAUCAGAUAUGCUUCUAAUGAAACUGUACUCUGUUGUUGACGUCGCAAGGGCUUUGAAUAUGCAUUCCCAACUCAGAAAACUAGAGCUCUUUGUUAGAGAUUCAGAACGUAACGGUCGUUUUGGUCAUCAGGUAGCUGAGAUGCUAAAGCUCGCCUUUUAAGACGCUGAACAUGUGAUUGAAGAGUAUGAGAUUUGGUGUCUUCAAAAGGUACAUGGUUUUUUCUUCUGUAGAUCAAACACUCUUGCCUGUAGAAUUCGAAUGUGUGUUGAAAUUCGAAAGCUGAUUAAGAAACUGCAUAAGAUAGGUAGGUACAGAAAGUUUUCAAUGAUGGUGAUGGGAUUUGGGGGCUAUCAUAGUCCUCAUAGAACAAGAGGGCUUACGCAUACACGUGCAUGUGUGCAUUACUCUAGUGUUGUGGGAAGGGACUUUGAUACAGAUACAACAACAACAACUACCUAGUAUAGUCCCACAAAGUGGGGUCUGGGGAGGGUAAUAUGUAGNNN